rnacentral:rRNA from 1 species
GAUGAACGCUGACAGAAUGCUUAACACAUGCAAGUCAACUGUGGCGGACGGGUGAGUAACGCGUAAAGAACUUGCCUCACAGAUAGGGACAACAUUUGGAAACGAAUGCUAAUACCUGAUACUGUGAGAGAGCUGUGCGUCCCAUUAGCUAGUUGGAGAGGUAACGGCUCACCAAGGCGAUGAUGGGUAGCCGGCCUGAGAGGGUGAUCGGCCACAUGUGGACUGGGACACGGCCCUUACUCAUACGGGAGGAAGCAGUGAGGGAUAGUGGACACUGGACCAAAGUCUGAUGCAGCAAUUCUGUGUGCACGAUGAAGUUUUCGGAAUGUAAAGUGCUUUGAGUUGGGAAGCGGUACCAACAGAAGAAGUAACGGCUAACUACGUGCCAGCAGCCGCGGUAAUAC